AUUCGUCACACUAUCAUUAACUGAAUCCAUAGGUUAAUGAGGCGAACCGGGGGAACUGAAACAUCUAAGUACCCCGAGGAAAAGAAAUCAACCGAGAUUCCCCCAGUAGCGGCGAGCGAACGGGGAGGAGCCCAGAGCCUGAAUCAGUGUGUGUGUUAGUGGAAGCGUCUGGAAAGGCGCGCGAUACAGGGUGACAGCCCCGUACACAAAAAUGCACAU
rnacentral:rRNA from 1 species